GAGCCCCGGACCAAACCAUUCCAGCUGCCGACACCCUUGCAGCCUUUUUGGAGCAGGACAGAUGCUUCCACGACGGGUCAAAAGCCAUUUUGGAAGUGGGCAACACCGGACAAUUUUUGAAGGAGGAACGCUAAACCCUGGCGAAGUGGCUUCAAAUACAGUAUUUGCAUAAAAGGGGAUAUUUCUACUUCAUGAUUUCUCAACCUCGGCACAUAUUGAACUGGGCAGUUUUUGUGUGGGGGUUGUCCGGUCCUUGUAGGAUGCUGAGCAGUUGCCCUGGUCUUUCUCCCCACUCAAUGCCAGUAGCACUCCCCAAAACAUGUCUCUCCAGAUAUUGCCAAAUGUCGUCUCGGGGAGAAAAAUCGUCCUCAGUUGAGAACCGCUUCUAUUUGAACUCCGAACCGGGUUAUGAUUCAAUAGCUAACUAUGGUGGUGAUUUAGUCCAUGUAUGAAUGUCAUUUUUAAGCUAGCUUUUUGGAUUUGAGGUUAUGGCUGAAAGGACUGAUAAAUAAUAUACAUAUUUGACCACAGUCUGCGAAUAUGAAGUUUAUUCUUUGAGUUUCAGGCACUAUGCCUCCUUGACUCAAUGAAGAACCAAAUCAACUUACAGCUAGCUACUCAUGGGCUUGAACUUUCUGCUGCUGCUUCAGCUCAGCUGUCUACAACUAGACCACAUAGCUGGAUGAAGCUAUUUAAUGCAUUGUGAAAACAUUCCCUCUGCCCUCUGAGUGUAUGCACAUCCAGCUCUUCAGAUGCCUGCAACAACAGCUGUUCAAGAAUCCCAACCUAAUCCAUUCUCCACAGAUGUGGAGCCCAGAAGAUUUGUGAGUUGUUAAACCAAAACAGGAUGCAGGAGCACCAGGAUGGCACCCGGAGACUCUAACCAUGGAAUGCGUGGGAAUUCUGUGAUUAUUUCUCCAUCACACAUUUAUCACACUGUAGAGAUGGACUCAAGACCAGUGCUUCUGAGGCCUUUUCCAGCACUUCUCAUUCUUUCAGAUGCCUUUUGCAACUUAACGUUCUCCUUCUUCUUCAUCAUGCCGUGUUUAUUGAAAAUCUCCCUAUCUCAUUAAUCAGAAAACCCCAUAAUGACAGGAACCACAUCGUUUUGCUUACCAGAGUAUCUAAAACCAAAAUAGUACCUGGCUAACAACAGGCAUUCAAUAUUUGCUGAAUGGAGAUCAUAGCUGUGUUUAUAUGUAAGACAGACAAUAAGUAGUCAUUGGUAUUAGGGUCACAUCUCCUUUCUCCUUCACACUGAUUUACCUCAUUUCAUUGUGUUUAUCUCACACCAUUUUGUAAAUUAUCCCAUGUUAGCUAUUGUUAUUCUCAAAUUCCACGCAUAUGAAGAAAAACAGUAAUUAGAAAAUAAUAGCAAUAUCCAUAAUUAUGGGAGCUACUAUUUACUGAGGGGUUACUAUCCAGCAGGUGUAUCACAUUUUUCCCAUAAUUUAUUCCAUCUGUCCUUAGCCAAAAUGAAUGUUUAACUUUGCUGGUCACAUACAAGUUUUGUCGCAUAUUCUUCUUCCUCUUUUUCUUUAUUUCCCUCUCUCUCUUCUUCAUUUUCAUCUCGCAACCCUUUAAAAAUGUAAAAAUCAUUCUUAAGUAGCAAGCCAUACAAAAACAAAUCGUGGACUAGAAGUAAACAAUGCAUUAUCUUAAUUUUGAACAUGAGAUUAAAACUGAAGCCUAAGGAAUCAUCUAAUAUA
rnacentral:lncRNA from 1 species